AACGAACGCUGGCGGCAUGCCUAACACAUGCAAGUCGAACGAGACCUUCGGGUCUAUUGGCGCACGGGUGCGUAACGCGUGGGAACCUGCCCUUAGGUUCGGAAUAACUCCCCGAAAGGGGUGCUAAUACCGGAUAAUGUCUUCGGACCAAAGAUUUAUCGCCUUUGGAUGGGCCCGCGUUGGAUUAGCUAGUUGGUAGGGUAAAAGCCUACCAAGGCGACGAUCCAUAGCUGGUCUGAUAGGAUGAUCAGCCACACUGGGACUGAGACACGGACCAGACUCCUACGGGAGGCAGCAGUGGGGAAUAUUGGACAAGGGGCGAAAGCCUGAUCAAGCAAUGCCGCGGGAGUGAUGAAGGCCUUAGGGUUGUAAAGCUGUUUUACCCGGGAUGAUAAUGACAGUACCGGGAGAAUAAGCUCCGGCUAACUCCGUG
rnacentral:rRNA from 1 species